rnacentral:rRNA from 1 species
UGGGGAAUAUUGCACAAUGGGCGAAAGCCUGAUGCAGCGACGCCGCGUGAGGGAUGACGGCCUUCGGGUUGUAAACCUCUUUCAGCAGGGACGAAGCGCAAGUGACGGUACCUGCAGAAGAAGCACCGGCUAACUACGUGCCAGCAGCCGCGGUAAUACGUAGGGUGCAAGCGUUGUCCGGAAUUACUGGGGGUAAAGAGUUCGUAGGCGGUUUGUCGCGUCGUUUGUGGAAACCAGCAGCUCAACUGCUGGCUUGCAGGCGAUACGGGCAGACUUGAGUACUGCAGGGGAGAGUGGAAUUCCUGGUGUAGCGGUGAAAUGCGCAGAUAUCAGGAGGAACACCGGUGGCGGAGGCGGGUCUCUGGGCAGUAACUGACGCUGAGGAACGAAAGCGUGGGGAGCGAACAGG